rnacentral:misc_RNA from 1 species
UACAGGGGGUGCGAGCGUUAAUCAGAUUUACUGUGCGUAAAGCGUGCGUAGGCGGCGUUUUAUGUCGGAUGUGAAAUACCCGAGCUUAACUUGGGAAUUGCAUUAGAUACCGGGAAGCUAGAGUAUGGGAGAGGAUGGUAGAAUUCCAGGUGUAGCGGUGAAAUGCGUAGAGAUCUGGAGGAAUACCGAUGGCGAAGGCAGCCAUCUGGCCUAAUACUGACGCUGAGGUACGAAAGCAUGGGGAGCAAACAGG